ACUUUGGGUGAUGGAAAAUCCACCUUGUUCUGGGAGGAUAAAUGGUUGUAUGGCUCCUGCUUACGGGAUCUCGCACCAUUCAUUUAUGACAGAAGUCCUCGGAGGGCGAGAAGGGUUUUGACUAUCUCAGAUGCGCUCGACAACAACAGGUGA
rnacentral:rRNA from 1 species